CCCAGACUCCUACGGGAGGCAGCAGUGGGGGAUAUUGCACAAUGGGGGGAACCCUGAUGCAGCGACGCCGCGUGGGUGAAGGAGCGUUUCGGCGCGUAAAGCCCUAUCGGCAGGGAAGAAGGAGGACGGUACCUGACUAAGAAGCCCCGGCUAACUACGUGCCAGCAGCCGCGGUAAUACGUAGGGGGCAAGCGUUAUCCGGAUUUACUGGGUGUAAAGGGGGCGCAGACGGCAGCGCAAGCCAGGAGUGAAAGCCCGGGGCCCAACCCCGGGACUGCUCUUGGAACUGCGCGGCUGGAGUGCAGGAGGGGCAGGCGGAAUUCCUGGUGUAGCGGUGAAAUGCGUAGAUAUCAGGAGGAACACCGGUGGCGAAGGCGGCCUGCUGGGCUUUUACUGACGCUGAGGCUCGAAAGUGUGGGGAGCAAACAGGAUUAGAUACCCGCGUA
rnacentral:rRNA from 1 species